ensembl:lncRNA
GUACAACAUCUUUUAAUCCAUCCAUCUGAUGAUGGACAUUGAGUUUGUUUCCAUGUCUUGGUUGUUGUGCAUAUUGCUGCAAGGAACAGAGCAAUGUCCACAAGAUGGGCCAGAGGACCUUCUGAACCCAGGUGCAGCUCCAGGGCUGUUGCAGGCUCAGAGGUGGGGAUGAUGGUGUGUUGGGCAGAACCCAUAGCAAGCUCCCAGAGGUUUGGGUUUGUUUGCUGGGCACCUGGGAAUCUCUACUCUAAGAUGCCUCAUGUCAGGCAGAGGACACAGGUGUCCCUUCAGCAUUGGAUGUGGCUGGGCAGCCUGGUUGGGUGGCAGUGUGUUUGGAAUGCUGAAGGGAUUCACUGGGUUUCCAAAUGCCUUGUGUUCCUCCAGAGGCAGGAGCCGAGACCCACACAGCAUCUGUGUUGAAAGGUGAGAUGGCCAUGUUGAAGCCCCUGGUUGUCAGGGCUGUAGGGAUGUGGAGAGAGAGGCUGGUGCUGACAAAAGAAUGGGGAGACUUGGGCGGCAUGAUGGUGGGCAGCUGUGCUAAUCCCUGUGCUUUUCUUGCUCAAGAGACCUAGGGAAAUUUCCUUCUUGCCUUUUUCGAUGAUCCUCUGUUUUCACUACCGCGCCACGGCAUUGGAGGCCCGACCAAAGCCAGGUGUGAUGAAUUAAGCAGGGUGGAUUGGUAUCACCAAGCACGCUCUCAGGGAGUUCCCUCGUGGUUGCUGGGCUUAAAAGAGUCCUCUCUGUCACUACUGUGGCUGUGGUAAGAGCUGCGUUGGGAGAUCAAACCCUGGCCAGGAAAUAUCCCAUGUGGCAGGUGGCACCCAAAUAGAUUUUAAGCAAAUGAAGUGUUGAAUGAAUGAGGUCAAUUAACGAAGAAGUCGAUAAAUACAUCCAUCCAUCCAUUCCUCCAGAGCAGCUAAGGGAACCGAUAAAGUAGUAACAAAGGACCUCCUGACCCUAUACCUUUGGUGACAGAGGGUUUUCAUUAGAGGCCUGAGGUAACAAAAUGGAUUCAGUUUCUGGCCAGACAGUGUCUGCAUGCCACAAGUGGGUGCAGAAAAAUAAACAGGUAAGUAAAAAAAAAAAAAAA